rnacentral:snoRNA from 1 species
CUGUCAGAGGGAUGAUGUAUUAUUACAGAGCCCUUAAAAUGCUUUCGUUUCUUGAUGCUGCUUCAGAGAUGGAUAUAAG